AUUGAACGCUGGCGGCAUGCUUUACAUAUGCAAGUCGAACGGCAGCGCGGGCUUCGGCCUGGCGGCGAGUGGCGAACGGGUGAGUAAUGCAUCGGAACGUGCCCAGUAGUGGGGGAUAGCCCGGCGAAAGCCGGAUUAAUACCGCAUACGACCUGAGGGUGAAAGCGGGGGACCGAAAGGCCUCGCGCUAUUGGAGCGGCCGAUGUCGGAUUAGCUAGUUGGUGGGGUAAAGGCUUACCAAGGCGACGAUCCGUAGCUGGUCUGAGAGGACGACCAGCCACACUGGGACUGAGACACGGCCCAGACUCCUACGGGAGGCAGCAGUGGGGAAUUUUGGACAAUGGGGGCAACCCUGAUCCAGCCAUGCCGCGUGCGGGAAGAAGGCCUUCGGGUUGUAAACCGCUUUUGUUCGGGAAGAAAUACUCUGGGCUAAUACCCCGGGGGGAUGACGGUACCGGAAGAAUAAGCACCGGCUAACUACGUG
rnacentral:rRNA from 1 species